GAGGUAGCAACAGCGAGCGUGCCGGUCGCUAGUCGCGGGUCCCCGAGUGAGCGCGCCAGGGAGCAGGAGACCAAGCGACGGGAGUCGGAGUCAGAGUCGCAGUGGGAGUCCCCGGACCGGAGCACGAGCCUGAGCGGGAGAGCGCCGCUUGCACGCCCGUCGCCACCCGCGUACCCGGCGCAGCCAGAGCCACCAGCGCAGCGCUGCCAUGGAGCCCAGCAGCAAGAAGCUGACGGGUCGCCUCAUGCUGGCCGUGGGAGGAGCAGUGCUUGGCUCCCUGCAGUUUGGCUACAACACUGGAGUCAUCAAUGCCCCCCAGAAGGUGAUCGAGGAGUUCUACAACCAGACAUGGGUCCACCGCUAUAGGGAGAGCAUCCUGCCCACCACGCUCACCACGCUCUGGUCCCUCUCAGUGGCCAUCUUUUCUGUUGGGGGCAUGAUUGGCUCCUUCUCUGUGGGCCUUUUCGUUAACCGCUUUGGCCGGCGGAAUUCAAUGCUGAUGAUGAACCUGCUGGCCUUCGUGUCCGCCGUGCUCAUGGGCUUCUCGAAACUGGGCAAGUCCUUUGAGAUGCUGAUCCUGGGCCGCUUCAUCAUCGGUGUGUACUGCGGCCUGACCACAGGCUUCGUGCCCAUGUAUGUGGGUGAAGUGUCACCCACAGCCCUUCGUGGGGCCCUGGGCACCCUGCACCAGCUGGGCAUCGUCGUCGGCAUCCUCAUCGCCCAGGUAAGCUGGGGCAGGAUCUACCUGCCUGGCACGGCCCCUGCCCACAGCUUCAGUGGCUCUCGGAUCUGUGCCCAGCAGGGCAGAGUUUCUCUUCCACCCAGCCCCCACAGCCUUGCAGAGGACAACUAUGGUACACAGGUCCAGAGAACACAGCACCAUGGCCUCCCAGUUGACAGCAAGAUGACUUGACUCUUCUCAGUCCCUUUCUUCUCACUCUAGGCCUCCAACCACAGGGCCCGCCUUCCCCCAACAUGCCGCAGGCUGUUAUGCACAGUACCCUCUCUCCAGGAGGCUUCCCCUUCCCUGU
rnacentral:sRNA from 1 species